CCUUCGGGAGGCAGCAGUGAGGAAUAUUGGUCAAUGGACGAGAGUCUGAACCAGCCAAGUAGCGUGAAGGAUGACUGCCCUAUGGGUUGUAAACUUCUUUUAUAUGGGAAUAAAAUGUUCCACGUGUGGGAUUUUGUAUGUACCAUAUGAAUAAGGAUCGGCUAACUCCGUGCCAGCAGCCGCGGUAAUACGGAGGAUCCGAGCGUUAUCCGGAUGUAUUGGGUGGAAAGGGAGCGUAGAUGGAUUGUUAAGUCAGUUGUGAAAGUUUGCGGCUCAACCGUAAAAUUGCAGUUGAAACUGGCAGUAUUGAGUACAGUAGAGGGGGGCGCGAUACGUGGUGUAGCGGUGAGAUGCUUAGAUAUAACGAAGAACUCAG
rnacentral:rRNA from 1 species